AUUGAACGCUGGCGGCAGGCUUAACACAUGCAAGUCGAGCGGUAACAGAGAGAAGCUUGCUUCUCUGCUGACGAGCGGCGGACGGGUGAGUAAUGCUUGGGUAUCUGCCUUGUGGUGGGGGACAACAGUUGGAAACGACUGCUAAUACCGCAUAAUCUCUACGGAGCAAAGUGGGGGACCUUCGGGCCUCACGCCACAAGAUGAACCCAAGUGGGAUUAGCUAGUUGGUAAGGUAACGGCUUACCAAGGCGGCGAUCCCUAGCUGGUCUGAGAGGAUGACCAGCCACACUGGAACUGAGACACGGUCCAG
rnacentral:rRNA from 1 species